CCCAGGCAGGCGUGCCCUCGGCCAAGAGGCCUCGGGCGCAACUUGCGUUCAAAGACUCGAUGGUUCGCGGGAUUCUGCAAUUCACACCAGGUAUCGCAUUUCGCUACGUUCUUCAUCGAUGCGAGAGCCGAGAUAUCCGUUGCCGAGAGUCGUGUGGAUUAUAUAUAAUUGCAACUCAGGGUGAGGCCAGCAAGCCAGCCACAUCCCCUCGUUAGGCACAGUGUUCCUUGACGCCUUCGGCGCCGUGGGUUCUUUUACCCCGAGCCC
rnacentral:rRNA from 1 species